GACGAACGCUGGCGGCGUGCUUAACACAUGCAAGUCGAACGGUGAAGCGCUUGCCUUUUUGGUGGGUGUGGAUGAGUGGCGAACGGGUGAGUAACACGUGAGUAACCUGCCCUCUUCUUCUGGAUAACCUCAUGAAAGUGGGGCUAAUACGGGGUAUUCCGGGUCUGUCGCAUGGCGGGUUUGGGAAAGAUUGCGCCUUUGGGUGUUUUCGGUGGGGGAUGGGCUCGCGGCCUAUCAGCUUGUUGGUGGGGUGAUGGCCUACCAAGGCGGUGACGGGUAGCCGGCCUGAGAGGGUGGACGGCCACACUGGGACUGAGACACGGCCCAGACGCCUGCGGGAGGCAGCAGUGGGGAAUAUUGCACAAUGGGCGCAAGCCUGAUGCAGCGACGCCGCGUGAGGGAUGGAGGCCUUCGGGUUGUGAACCUCUUUCGCCAGUGAAGCAGGCUUGCUCCUGUGUGGGUGGGUUGACGGUAGCUGGAUAAGAAGCGCCGGCUAACUACGUG
rnacentral:rRNA from 1 species